GGAGAAGGGUCAUAGCUCAGUGGCAGAGAAUCUGCUUUGAAUAAAGUAGGUCCAGGUUCAAUCCCUGGCAUCUUCA